rnacentral:tRNA from 1 species
GUGGAUCGCCACGGUGGCGGCGAUGAUCGAUGGCCGCUUGCGACGCGGCGCGGUCUUCCUGCUGGUGGCUGCCGGGCUGACCCUGUUCGGCCUGAUCCACUC